rnacentral:ncRNA from 1 species
GCUUAUCCAGAGUGGUGGAGGGACAGGGCCCUGUGAAACCCGGCAACCGGCUUUAUAGCAUCGGUGCCAAUUCCCCCGACAGUAUUGUCGGAAGAUGAGA